CGAAGGAACGCGGUACAAGGGAAGCCUCUCGUCAGUCAAGGUAUGCGCAAGUUUCUUCUUUGAAUCGUGCUGCUGCUAUCCGUUGGUUCAAAUCUUGGUGCAUAAUACUAACUGCUUACCAGAUUGUGUGAUUGAAUUGCAGAUUGUGUGAUUGAACAGAUAAAAACAUGUUUACCAUCUAUAAUCCUCACUUUCUCCCUCACGCAGUCACCCCGUCAUUAAAAAUCUAGUGAAGUGUCUUCUUGACGCAUAAUAACUUGAGCUUACCAGAGUUGUGCACCAUAACAAAGGGUACAUUACUGCAUUAUUAGUAGGACACACAAAUCAUGGAUUCGUUUCAGUGAAGAUACAUAUCAUGGUACUCAUGGAUAAUAACUUGAAUUUGGUGGAGAUGUGCACAAAUGCACUCUUUGUGAAGUCAGCUUAUGCUAGUACAACUGUACAAGUGUACAACCGAACCCAGGAUGAACGCAUUCUUAAUCGAGCCCUAAACGCAAUGGGGGUGAAAAGCUGUGCACAUGUGCAGUAAUUAUGAUAGCUAGAGAUUUGACUUAAGCCAACUCAAAAUAUUCGCAGCAGAUUCUGGAGAAACUGUUGAUGCUCCAUAUACAGCGUCACUCCAACUAUCCAACUCAUGAGCCCGCUGAAAUUGUCUGUGUCACGGCAUGUUGAGGUCAAUUGGCCUUUGGUGCCUAUGCGAGCAACCAACGUUGCAGCCAAUGCUGAUGCCGAGGCUGAGCGUCAAAUCCACCUCCCUGCUUCUUUGCUGGCUUUUAGUUACAUACCUUCCCCCCUCCUGCUUCUGUUUACAUGCAAGACAUCAACUCCGCGGUGAAACUCGGUGUUAUGAUUAAUUGCGAUGGAUCAAUCCACUUGCCUGCUCCUUCCUGGAGACCAUUUCCAUCAAGUCCCUCUCCUCAAGCGUUGCUUUCCCCUGCAAGCAUGCAUCAGGAUCGUCAUGAGCGAGCCUGACAGCAAAAUGUGAUUUACAGAGUCAGUUCAUUCAUUUUUCUUUUGCGGAACCGUACAGAGUUAGUUGUUCCAUCUUUGUGUGUGUGUAGUGUCCACUGCUUUCUUGCUUUUGCAUUGCAGAGUCACAUGCCAGUAGAACAGCAGGACGUGAACACAUCACACAUGAAAAAUAAGCGCACAUGCAGAAAUAUCUCGAUAUCGCAUACACUGGAUAAAUGCAUUUCCCUGAUUGAGUUGUAUCCAUUAUGCAGAACUGAAACCUAGUAGAUGCUAGCCAAUGCAGCUGCUCGUUUAUAGUGUGAAUUGGAUGAUUUUUAUUUAUUUUUUUGAAACGGAUGGAGACAUGCCUCUGCUGAUUCUUUCAUAGAGCUGGAUGGAGACAUGUGUUGGAUGUGGUAAACCUCGAAAGUACUAAAAAAUAGUUUUAAGCUCUGUGUACUUCAGAUAAAAUAGGACUUCAAAUAAAUCUUGUUGGUAUGUUGAGACUCACCUUCUCGUGUAGUGUGGCGAUCGAAUAGGCUUCCAACUGAUUCCAUGCAGGAGAAAGUGUGUUGAAUUUAAAAAUGAAUCCCGGGCCAUAUCAAACUGAAAUAUCUUAAAACGCCAAAAGAUAGAAGCUAUAUAAAUCGAAAUUACUAGUAAUGCAACAAGUUGAGUUAUACAUUGGCACAGUAAGGCAAAGGACUAGUCAUCUGCCUGCCAUGACUAGGAAUUCAGGUGGUGGAACCUUAAUUCAGUCUUCAUCCUAAUAUACAUCACAGAUUCACAUCUAUGCCAUCAACCAACAGUAGAAAGUUAGUUUGGCACUACUCCUUCCUUUCACCAUAAGACAGGUAAAUUCAUCAUGAAUCACUGACAGAGCCAGAUUUAGAAGGUCAAACAUUAAAAAAAUGACAACUCUUGGAUUUAUUUUUUCUAUUAUUUCUUAUCUACAUCAGGGAUUUUCCCAAAACAUUGUGAGAUUGCUCGAACUGUUUGACCAAUAUCUCUAUCAGGUGCUGUGAAGAGCAUGCCCUCUUGUGAAAAAUCAGUUGUUGUAGUCUUCUGGACUGUCUAGUUUUUGUGGUAAAGCAAGAUUAGGGCGUGAGUAGUGUUAAACUUUCAUACCAACUAGUGACUGCCAUGUUGUACUAAUGGGACGAUUCCCUCUUUGACGUCAGAUCUGCAAAUACCAUGUGUUGUCCUAGGUGGUCUGGUUACAACAAAUCCGAUAGUCACACAAGUAUCAGUGCAACUGAUAAAUUGUAGACUCGGAUACGAAAAUAAAUGCUUUGGGUUUCUGUCUGAGCAUGAGAAUCCUGGCACGAGUGUUACAGUAUUAAUAGGCAAGAGAGAAUGUAAACUGUAUAAACAUCUCUAUGUAGUAUGAUUCUCAGUUUCACAUUUUGUUAUGUGGAGUGUCAUUCCCAUUUUCCCCAAAAAAAUUAUCAAAGGUAGGUUAAAUUGACAUGGUGACAGCAAAAAUCAAAAUCUCAAACUUGGAUAGACAUCCCAGUUCUUCUCCAGUAAAGAACCUUGCUGCGUUACUUCUGCAGACCCCGAGGUACCUUGAUACUUUACACGAAAAGGUCUUGAAUUGGAAUAUAAACCCCAAAUUCUGCGACGAAGUUUUCCAAAAUAUAUUUGGACUAGGAAACUAAUAUACAUAACAAACAUGCCUUACUGAAACAUACCUUCCUGGUCUUUGCAUUUCUUAGUGCAUAUUCCAGUUUUCUUUCAAUUUGUGUAAGCUGUUCGAUGGUCAACUGGGAUAUGCUUGAUUCAUCAAUUGUCCUGCUGAUAAUAUAUAUAUUAAUAACCUCUUGGAACUAUUUGUAGCUGCAAUUUCUACUUGCAGAAGCAAUUUUGAGAUCUUACACGUCAUAAAUGUUUGGCUUUCUAUCUGUUGUUACUAGGGGAACUUGAAAAUCCUUGCUUCUCUGGAAAAUGAAAUGGUCAUUAGCAGCACCGAGAGUAUUCUCAAAGCAAAUGGGCAUAAAUGUGCAUAAUGUCUCAUUUAUUUAACACCUCACAGCAUAAUUCCUUUUGUAUUUUCCAGUUUUGCGCACUCAUAUUUUGUAACAUUUCCAUAGCAUGAUUUAUGCUCUUUUUUUAUCAGAAAUAAAAAAUAGUUACUGCUGUAGGAAGAGUAUAUAGAUCUGCUCAUAGAAAGGUAUCUGCAGAAGAGCACCAAAACUGAUUUUUGAUAUCCAAUAAAAGGUAAAGAUAGACACUCUUGAUAGUGUUUUAAUGAUAUUGAUUCUGUCCUUCAUCACCUCUUUAAGAAGCCUCCUUCCAUGUGCUCUUUUUUGUGCUUCUGGGAAAUUCUGAUAACGUUUGAUGAUAGUCUCCAUACUGCAGUGCAACAAAGGUUUGUGAAUGCAUAAUUAUUUUGUGGAACAAAGUAUAUCAAUUCGAUAUUUAAGAGAAAAGAGCAUCAAAGAUAUAAUGCUGCAAAAUGUAACAAGUAUUGCUACAAUAGUUCAGAGAACUACUUGGACAAAAAUAAUCCCCGCUGAGUUUUCUGGAAACAAGCUGGGUACUGAUGGUAUGCCCGUGCAUUUUCUGGCCAUCCUGGCUACUCUCAACAUCAGCCACCAACAGAUGGCAGCGCGACUGGAUCUGGUUCGGUGAGCAGCAAUGGAGCACCUAUGAUUUAUGGCAUGGAGUGGUGGCACGACGCAUUGGCGCAGCGGAUGACGGCGCUCAGGCAAGCGAUUGAGCGCAUGGUGGAUGAUGUCAAUCCUCUUGCGGGUCUUUUGCUUGUUAAAGGGUUGUAGAAGUCUUCUCAAGCGUGUGGCGGCGGUAGACCCCGACAACAGCAUGAAGGAUCAAUGUUCCCUGCUGAAGACGUCCUUUUUGUAGUUCAACGGCAAGAUACACGUAGGAGUAUGGUAGGAGUAUGAUAUCUGAGUGUUUGCUGAAAAUGGAGUGGAAACUUUCCGCUUUUCCGUAGGAAAAAUGAAAACGGAGAGGAAAUAUGAAAUCGAAAAUGGAAAUUUGCAAAAUGGAAAUGGAAACAGAAUUUUUAAUGCGAAAACGGAAACAAAAACGGAAGAGUGUUUUCCGGUGGAACAUAUGUGGAAAUGGAACUUUCCGUUUCCGUGAAUAUGGACCCCCCCCCAUUUUUACUAUAGGUCUACGGCUGCUUUGUAACCCAACCGUCAAAUAACAUAUAAUGACAUGAUGAGCAUAAUUGAUCAUUUGAGGCCCAACUUAUACUAUCAUAUAUGUAUUCAGUUAGACCCUAUACACAAUUGUCAUGUACUAAUACAAUACUAGGAUAUGUUGCUAACAUAAUCAAAUUAUUUUGUAGACAUGUUAGCAAUUUAUUAAUUUUUGUUGUUGUCUGUAUUACUCUGUGAUUCAAGGGUUUUAAAGUUUCGGUCAAUGCUCACUUCUAUUUCUGUAUCCGUUUUGUAUUCGCUCUGUGUCUGUUUCCGAUAGUAUCUGUUUCCGUAUUCAUUUUCAGGGUUUUUUGUAUUCGUUUUUACUUCUGUAAAACAAUAUGAAAACAAAUGUAAUAGCACUCAGUUCCGUCCGUUUUCGCUCCGUUUUCAUCCCUAGAUACACGCAUUUGGCGAGACAUUCAUCUCAGUUAUACGAGUUAAUAUGGAUCACGGUAGCAGACAUUCAUCUCAGUUAUACGAGUUAAUAUGGAUCAGGUAGCGAUGAUGCACAUAGAAGGCAAUGCAGUGCGUUGGUUCCGGGCAUACAAACCUUGCCAUGAUGUGUAUUUUGCCCCCCAUUCAUGACUACAGUGCAGGCAAAGUUCGGUGCUGCAGACCAUCACCAAUUCAUGUAUGUGUUAUUAUUUGUGCAACAAAAGAGUACCGAGCACAAUUUGAAGAACCCUUGUAAAAGAUCGCAAGCCAUAGCUUGCAUUAUGAGAAACUGUUUUCAAACAGUUCGUCAAAGGACUGAGAAAUCAGAGGGGAUGUCACCUGCUUCACCUAAAACUGUGGACAGGGCGACAUUGAUAGCCACUCCAAAAUUGUGGACAACAGAUAUUUAUAGCCACUCUUCAGCAAGAUGUAGCCAAAUAGGUGAAACAUUGGCGUCCUUAGUAUGAUGCAAGCGUUAUUAAAAGUUUUAUGCACCGACCAGUAGAACCAACAAUCUAAAAUGGUGGAGAAUGUUAGGCAAUCCACUCAACACUUUCUCAUGUAUGGCUUGAUAAGGCCUAAACAUGGACAUGAAGAGGCAAACAAGCUGCGACAGCACGGACAUAAACCCAGGAUCUCUUAGUUUUGAUACCAUAUUAAGUUUUAUGCAUCAAGCAUAAACCUAGGAUCUCUUAGUUUUGAUAGUAGAACCCAAAAUUGAGACAGGUGGAAAAGAUUGGGCAAUCCACAUAUACGUCAACACCCUCUUUCUUGUUUGGCUCGAUAAGGUCUAAACAUGGACAAAAAUAAACCUAGGCAUGGGCAACCAGGCCCGACGGGCCAAACCUGAAGCCUGAUAGUCUAGCUACGCCCGUGCUCAAGAUUGGCCCGAAUCAAAAACAUGAAAAAGCUUUAAAUACCUUUGAAAUAGGGUUUUAAUAGAAAUAUAGCUAUAAUAUUUUAUUUAUAUAUAUCCCAAAAAUAAUUAUAAUGAUAUUACUAAAACAAAAUGUGCAUCUUUUAAUUGAAGCCUGACCCGAGGAAUGCCCAGAUAUAGACAGAAAAUGGACAAGCAAUUUUCUUAUUUAAAUUGGACUACUUUACGUCUUAAAGUCAAGACCUCUUGACUCGGAUAUCAUAUUAACUAUACUAUCAAAACUCUAAACUCAGUGAAAAGGUUUGACAAUCACAUGUAUUUCAGCAUCCCAUCUCACAUGUGACUCAGUAAAGCCUAAAGGUAGAUAGAAAUGGAACAAGCAUGUGAAAGCGGGGGCUUGGACACAAGACCUCUUGGUUUUGAUAUCAUAUUAAGGUUUAUGCACCAAAGAACCAAAAGUUUGAACUAAUGUAGAAGGUUGGACAUUUGCAUGUACUUCGAGACCCCCUCUCACACAUGGACCGACAAGGCCCAAAUGGACUGAAGAGAGCAAAAAUCUUUUAUUUGAAUUAUGGAAUCCAAGACUUGAACCAAAGAUCUCUUGGAUGUAAUAUCAUAUUAAGCUUCAUGCACUAACCAAUCUAAGCAAAUGUCUGAAUUGGUGGAGAAGGUUUGGUAAUCCACAAUACAACUCCCGUCUUGUGACUCAAUAAUGUCUAAAUAUGGAUAACAAGAGGGCAAGAAAUUUUAAUUAACAUUGUGAAAGUCGACACUUGAACCCAAGAACUCUUAGAUCUGAUAUUAUAUAAAGUUUGAUGCACCAACCGGUAGAAACCUAAGUCCAAAUGAUGGAGAAGGUUGGUCAAUCCACAAAUACUUCAGUAGAAGACAUGGAGAUUUUUGAAAAGGACAAUAGUUCAUAUAUUUUCACCGUGCUAAUUGUCUCUACUAAGAAUAGGUAUGAUCCCCAACAUCAAUGUGCCUCAACGCAUGCAUACAGUGAGAAUCAGAAAUUGGCACAAAGAAUUAUCUUCAACUUUAUUGAAUGAGGGAGCCUUGGCUACCAUAGAACAAUUCACAUUCUCAUUGAAUGCUUUAUCUAGAACUAAUGACCCUGAAACUAUCUGUCUUCGUGCUCUUGUAGGGGAUACUAUGUUAAUAAUGUUGGUUGAUUUUGCUAGUGGCCACUAUUUCUUAGAUGCCAGGUUUCUACAACUGCUAAGGUUUGGUGGCGAAUGGUGGUGAGCUACAAUGUUUUCCGAAAGUGCCAAAAUUGGAAUGUCGCAGACAAGGGCAUUCUUUCACAACCGUGAUGCAUGUGCGCGAGCUAGGGGGCUUAUGGGAUCAUUUUGGUUGUCAGACUAGUUGAAAUAGAGGUGAGUAGAAUCUUGUAAUUGGAUAGAUUUAGGGGUGUAUUUGCCAUGAAAGAUCCGUCAACUUGAUUGUUUGCAUUGUAUUCCUAUUUUAUUGCAGCGAAAGACAAGUGAUUGUAUUUAUGCAUGCCUUACAAAUGAACUUUCAACAAUGCAAUGAGCCAAAACGUGUACAUGCGUGAUGAACAAAUAACACCAUGUAUUAUACAAUAUCCUACUCCUACCCGACAAUAUGCAUUAGCUUAGUCGCCCAUGUAAAACGGUUGAAACCCCAAUCACAAGGAAGAAGCUAGUUGGAGAUGAUUGCCCACCUAAACAGACCAAUCUAGGACAAGUCAAAGCACAUGGGAGACAUGGAUGACACUUCAACUAAAAAAUACCCCGAACACAUGGAUGAAUCUGCCGUGUGGUAUGAGGUGGCGCAAGAAGCUAAGAACAAUGAAGCGUGAAGCCGAGGCGUGAUGGGGUAUAGUCAAUCCCAGUGACCUGGCACUCAACACAACAAGGAACAAUGGUGCUUGGGUCCUGAGGUUCUCGAUUGAUUGAAGUCUUAGGCCGUAGGGCCCUAGUGAUAGGUCUCAGAAAUGUUGGGACAAAAGCAACACGAAGGCUAGCGUGGCGCAUGUUUGAGGCCCAUGACAGUACAAUAUCUCUAGGGGUGUAAUGACUAAAUAACAAUGAAUAUGCUGCUAGCGAUAGGACUGGUGCAUGCCCCUAAAAUAUCUCUUGUAGUGUAAGCCUAGUAUUAAGGAAUACCAAGGAAUAUGGUACUAAGCAUUGGAAGGAAACGACUAAAUUGCCUUCUAUUGAAUAAUGUGACCAGUCAAGACCUAAACUAUCUAUAGGACUAAUAUUUGAUCUUGGUCUCUCCUCGUUUGUAAAGAUAAAGUGUCGCCUUCUUCAAGACACAUAAUAUAGGCUACUCACAUGAACCCUAAAACUUACUAAAUGUUAAAUAACCCUCGAGCGCACCAAAGCUUUAUCCACGGGGCAUAUAUAUGCAAUCUAGAACUCAACCUGGCAUGUCAUAUAUAGCUUGUGAAUGUAGCAGGAGUGAUCCAUAUCAAAAUUUAGUAACUUCUCACCGACUACACUACCACUCAGAGCUACCUUGCAGCGCUAAGUGAACCAUUCCUCUCACAAUUGGCUCGGUAAGACCUAAACAUGGACAAAAAGAGGGCAAUCAAACUUUAACUUAAGUUACGAAAGUCGAGACUUCAACCCAAUACUCUUGGCCCUACUACCAUACUAAGUUUCAGUUAGUUGGAAAACUUAUUGUUGACCCCGCAAAAAGUCUUAAAGUGCACAACAAGAUUAAGUAUAACUUUCUAAGUUUUUUAGUUGUGCAACUCCACAUUGAGCCAUAGAAACACCCAUACUAUUAGGAGGGGUCCUUGCCCUUGAAAGAUGUCUCAAACACAUUGCCAAAAUAAUAAAAUAUUUCCAUUCGAAGUCUCUCAUUUCCCAAAUUUCAACAUGCCCACAACUACCGGACCAGUCGGCCAAUACCUCUAAAUUGUUUUUGACAUGAGAGUUGGUUAAAAUUCUCUUAGUUGUGGAUAUCAAAUUGUUGAGUUGGCUCCCUGAACCAAUGGAUUUAGUGAUGAAAUCAGGGGGUUAUUUGUUAGGUUUGGAACCUCCAGGUGGAGCGUUUCCAGUACUUCCAAGUCUAUUAGAGUUUUCUCAGCAAGAGUAGUUUUUAUAUAGGUUAGGAACUUUUGUGUGGAGUUGGUCAAAAACCUCUUAGCUAGGGACUUAGCCAUUUCUGUUAAGUCCAUUUUCUGAUGGUCCUCUAUUAGGUCUAUAACUUUCAAGUGGAGUUAGUCCAUAAUUUUCAAUACUUCUAUCUCAACGAUGGACAAUAUGUGCAACUGCCUAAGACCCUCGAGCAUUGAUGCACGACACCUUCAAAGUGACCAUGGUUUCCAAGGUGUAUAUGGAUGAACAAGUACCUCAGAGUACUUGUGCUAACCUCCGGGAACGUGGGUUUCCUAUUUGCUUCAAUUCUCGCCCCCACCAAUUUUUUGUAACAAAUUUCAUCUCCUAUUCAAUCGCUCUAGUCAAUAUACUAGGUAUUUCACUCACAAUAAAAGGUUAAAGGACCAACCAUACCACUGGGGAGAUCUAGGAGUCCAAUGAUCAUGAUUUAAGUGUGGAAAUCACAAAAGAUGACUCGAUAAAACAAGUAUCAACCAACAAAUAACGUUGGUAGUGUAGUGAAAAGGGAGAGAUCUUAGCGGGAGAUGGGAAGGAGCCUUUGGAGUAGAUGUGUUGGAGGGGUCCCCAUGAGAAACUGGAACUUGUGAGUGACAAGUAUUUGGAGGUGGUGUGGCAAUAGAGUGAAGAAUCAAGAAUAUCUUGAGAAUGUUGUGGUGGUGCAGUUGUGAUAAGGUUAGAAGUAUGCGAUUAAUUGUGGGUAACAUCACAAAGAUUUUGCAACCUACAAACAGAAGGACCUCAACAACAAUAUCCCAUGUUCUUGGUAUUUUGUACUAGAACUAGCUCGGCCAAUUGAGUAGUCGACUCUAUGUGCGCACAAGGUCAAUGAGAUCAUACGAAGCAUAUUCAAAAACCUAAGGCAACCUUACUGAAUUUUUUAUCCGUAAUACGAUUGAUCAAGUGUCGCAUUCCAUUUCCCAAGACCCCAAAAGGUCAAAUGUUGAUUAAAUACGCAUAACUAGGAUUUAAGAUUUCACCCGCAAAAAGAACUAGGAUAUAGGAUUAAAGAGCAAUGAAGAAGCGUAACAUAGUUCAAGGCUUCUCCUAGGUGUUUCUCAUAUUCUAUCCUAUAGUAAAAACAAGAACCUAUAGAAAACGAUAAUUCAAUGUAGUGUAAUAUCCCUGUUAUAUAAGUUCUUGGUUUUCAUAUUGUUCCUAUCUAUGCAUGUAUACAUAUAGACCUUUCGCCAGAUGGGGAUACAAGUUGUUAUUUCUCUAACAUGGUAUCAAAGACUAGGUUUCCAUUUUCACACAAUCAAGUUGUUCUAUGUUUGACUAUGAUUUUUUUCCAGGGAACGAUCCUGAUUUUCCUUCGUUGUCAUGCCUCUAAUUAUUCCACCAUGCUACUCCUUUGACAGUCCCGUCUUUAGAUACCACAACCACCUUUUCACACCAACAUUGACAGAAGCCCCUGCAAUUUCGUCCAUUCUAGGCGCUCCAAUCCCUAUCGAGCUUGUGUUUCAACACCUUGAUCAGGUCAACUUGGGGCACAUCUUAUGCUCAACACCUCGAUCAUGCUAAGCUAGAGCAUGGGGAGCCACCGCUUGGAUCGGGUCGAGCUAUGAUGUGACCGCACCUACCGUAUCACGUGUGGCCGACCACAUCGCACACACUUAACUUGUGUACCUCUUCUAUGCAUGCACGUUAUUAAUGCUUGACCCUAUUUCGAUCAAUCUAUAGUGUUUGUUCCAUUGUCGAUUCCAAUUGGUAGAUUGAUCGAGCCCGAUUACAUCUUGUCAAAAAGAGUAAAACUAGGCACAAUGUCUUCACCAUCGGGCUUUUUUUCCAUCCCUUGCCGCCCGGUAAAUUUUUAUGACUUUAGUUACAAUAACUUCAUCGUCUACAUGUGUGGUCUUCGUCUCUAGGUGUCCUCUCCGGCGAGGUUUCAUGCUCGGUGUGCCAUGUUGCCCUUGUGGAGCCCUCACCAAUGGUACCUCCAGCUCCUAUCGUGGUUGCUAAUCAUGUUGUUGUUGAAACUGCUAAGAUUGUUGAUGAUGUUGCUAUUGGCGCAUAUGGUUAGAAGGUCUCUAAGUACCUAGUGGAUAUAUACUCUUAUUGUGAUGAGUUUAUCGCUUAUACUAAGUGGCUUGAUGAUCAUGCAAGGUCCGCGGCUAUCCUCUGCACCAGUGUCUUGUCUCAUUUUUCUUUGGAGGUUGUCGGUUUCUCAAAAGACUUCCAAAUGUGAACUCACCUUCGUCAUCAUUAUCUUCAUCAAAUGAUGUUAUUUUGCUUGUCUAAAAUUCGUCAGGAGCAUGACUCCAGCGGGGUGAUCCACUAUCAACGAGCUCUAUGCUCAGAGUACUGUCAUCAAGCGUCAACUGGAUUUUAUCCGAACCAUUGGGUGGGGCUCUACGUGUCUUAAUUACUAGGCUAUUCGUGAUGACUUCAACGUGUUUACGAUUCCUUGAAGCGGCUUCGUAAGGAUUUUGAGCCGCGACGUGCCCAACUCUUCAUGCAUGUGCCUUGUCUCUUUUCUCGGGGCACUCAUUGAGAAUGUGUCGUGGGGGCCGUGUGGGUGGUGAUAGUCUGUCGAAGCUUCCCUCUGUGUUUGCUGCUCAUUUGCCUACUACAACACUUGUUGCCUCGGCUAUAAUCCACUUUGAAGCCCCAACUCUUCUACCAGUUCCCACGGGAAGUGGAUAUCAGCCUUCUCCUGGCGGUGCUCGUCCUCACCGCACCUACUGCAACAAGGAUGGUAACGCUAGGUCAACCUGCUUCAAGUAGAAGCAACACCUUUCACGUGGCUCUUCUACAUGGGUUAGUGCAUCUACCUCAACCUCUUUACUUGUGUCCUUGAUUGAGCAAGAUAUUGCGCGACUUAAGUAUGUUUUAGUUCUUCAUCCGUAAAUUUUGUUGCCCACCGUUCAGGCACUAGGGGACCACCUUCUACGCAAACUAGAUGAUACCCCGCGUGUUGCUACAGGAAUCCGUUGCAAUAAAUUUCAAUGAGAUUGAAUUGUGUGGAAUAUAAAUAUUUAUAUUAAUAAUGAUUGACCAAAUUAAAAAUACAUAUGACUUAUUAUAUUUGAUUAUGUACAGUUGUAAAAUAUUCAUUAAAUAUAAGUAGAGUAAUAGAAUGAAAAUACUUUCUCAUGCAUGGUUCCAUCUGGUGGUGGGUCUUUGCCUAUGCAUGGUUGCACGUUCAGGUGGGCCUUAUCCUAUCUGUAAUUGUAUGAUGAUGUGUCAUGCUUGCAUGUUGAGAUAGAUAAGUUAGUGAGGAUGACUCUCUCAGGUCUAUAGGAUAUAGAUAGGUAUGCCCACAUGGAUUCUUGAUUCUAGAACAUCUUUCCAUAUAAUGUCUGAUUUGUCUGCUCUCCCAUUUAUUAUAUUUCUAGACUAUCCUAUUCAUGUUCUUGCUAUUAGGGGUACUUCUCUUCCCAUUGCUAGUCGUACCACUUCAUAUUUUCAUGUUUCUCAUUUUUUAGAUGCAAUUAGCUAGAUUGUUGACUCUAUUUCUCACAUCAUUAUUGACAUUUAUUUUUAUUGUGUUUAAGAUCGUCACGCAAGAGCUCUCGUUGGGGUUGGACCAUGGUGUGCCUGACAUAUCCUUUGUGAGCUUAACUGACUUCAUCUUCCAGUGUCCCACCACCGCCAACCUGUUUGCCCCACCUCCUUGUCUAUCGCCUCUUUUCAAAAGAGGCAUCAUCGUAUUGGUCAUUUGCAGGAUCUCAUAUGUCGACUUAAGUUUCAUCAUGGUCUUCUAUGACCUGUCUCGGGAAGAGUACUUUUGGAUUAUUGCGGUUGUAAGCUUGUUAAAUGUAAGAGCAUAUUGUUCCCUCUUUGAGGUUUCGGAGUAUUGACGACAAAGGUGGUUAAAAGACUAAUGUGUCUGUGUGUAUACACAUUUGAAAGUCCCUGAAGAUUUGGUUUAAAGGAAACGUGAAGACAUUGGUG
rnacentral:lncRNA from 1 species